rnacentral:sRNA from 10 species
AUGUACCACGCGUACACUGCGGUUCUGAGCGCGCCGUCCGCGCCCACCUGACGACUGCUCGCUACGUUUUGUUAGCC